AGAACUUAGCAGAGAUGCUUUGGUGCCUUCGGGAACUCUGAGACAGGUGCUGCAUGGCUGUCGUCAGCUCGUGUUGUGAAAUGUUGGGUUAAGUCCCGCAACGAGCGCAACCCUUAUCCUUUGUUGCCAGCGGUCCGGCCGGGAACUCAAAGGAGACUGCCAGUGAUAAACUGGAGGAAGGUGGGGAUGACGUCAAGUCAUCAUGGCCCUUACGAGUAGGGCUACACACGUGCUACAAUGGCGCAUACAAAGAGAAGCGACCUCGCGAGAGCAAGCGGACCUCAUAAAGUGCGUCGUAGUCCGGAUUGGAGUCUGCAACUCGACUCCAUGAAGUCGGAAUCGCUAGUAAUCGUGGAUCAGAAUGCCACGGUGAAUACGUUCCCGGGCCUUGUACACACCGCCCGUCACACCAUGGGAGUGGGUUGCAAAAGGAGUAGGUAGCUUAACCUUCGGGAGGGCGCUUACCACUUUGUGAUUCAUGACUGGGGUGAAGUCGUAACAAGGUAAGCGUAGUGCU
rnacentral:rRNA from 1 species